GACGAACGCUGGCGGCAUGCCUAAUACAUGCAAGUCGAGCGAACAGAUGAAGUGCUUGCACUCCUGACGUUAGCGGCGAACGGGUGAGUAACACGUAAGGAAUCUACCUAUAAGCGGGGGAUAACAUUCGGAAACGGGUGCUAAUACCGCAUAAUAUCUUCUUCCGCAUGGAAGAAGAUUGAAAGACGGCUCUGCUGUCACUUAUAGAUGACCUUGCGGUGCAUUAGUUAGUUGGUGGGGUAACGGCCUACCAAGACGAUGAUGCAUAGCCGACCCGAGAGGGUGAUCGGCCACAUUGGGACUGAGACACGGCCCAAACUCCUACGGGAGGCAGCAGUAGGGAAUCUUCCGCAAUGGGCGAAAGCCUGACGGAGCAAUGCCGCGUGAGUGAAGAAGGCCUUCGGGUCGUAAAACUCUGUUAUAAGAGAAGAACAAAUUGUAGAGUAACUGCUACAGUCUUGACGGUAUCUUAUCAGAAAGCCACGGCUAACUACGUGCCAGCAGCCGCGGUAA
rnacentral:rRNA from 1 species